rnacentral:lncRNA from 1 species
GUUGGAAUUAAUCUACGGUUGAAACAAACCGUGAGAGAAAAGGGGAGCCUUUUGACCCCAGGUGUGCAAUGAUCGGAAGCACACCACACAUCCACACGUUUGGUUUUGGUCCCAUGUACCCAGCACACACACAUAUAUAAGGAAAAGGGGGUUUUCAUUAUGGAUAACAACAUAUCGAUCUAAACCACCUAAUUGCCGAUCCUGAAUAUGUGCUGAGGUAUGUGAAGGCCAUCUCCACCACCGGCCACCGCAGAGCUGUGCCUGCGGCAACCCUGCUGUCAUCCUCGCCACCGUGCUGCUUCUUCCCCAACAUCUCCUCGCCACUGGAGACACAAAGGUGCAGCCGUGGGCUACACAGGGGCUGCAUCGAGAUAUCGCCAAGUACCUGUAAGUUUGUACGCUUCCGCAUAAAGUUGUUGAUCUAGUCUGAGAUUAGGACCAUACGUUGAUUAGCCUAAAGGCUAAUUUAUCUAACAUUGGUAUCAGAGCCUAUCUAAUCUGGCUAGAACACAAAUUAGGCCUUCCAAACGUUAAUUCCAAGUUAAAUGGCCUAAUUGAUCUAAGAUGAUGGUUUUCGGUUAAUGAUGUGGUAGUCCUGAUUGAUCAAGUGCAUCUCUUAUUUUUGCCCCUAUGUCAUGUUAAUGCUAUGAUCAGUAGCUAGCAGUUUUUCUGAUAGCACAUAAAUUUUAAUUGUUAAUGUUCAUGGUUAUAAAGCCUUGAUCCGAAUCAAGUUAAUAUGAAGUAAAAAGGUAUUGGCUCGAUUAGCAGUGAGAAGGAGGGGAAAUCGCAAGAAAUCAAAGAAAUCCGAAUGGCAAUCUUCCCCUAAUCCCCAAAUCCCAGCCCAGAUCAACAUUAAAAAAAGGAAAGAGGGACUGGGACUUGUGUUGUUGUUGCCGGCCAACGUGCGUACUCACCAUGGCAAGAAGGACGUCGUCCUUCGGGAUGACGGCCGGAAUGAUGCGCCUGGCCGAUCGCCUCUCUAAUGGACGCGCGCAGCCAACGCUCCGUGCGUUUUCUCGCCGCCGUCACCACCAAAGAUUGCGCCGGCGCCCGCCGGCGAGAUGUGCUCCUCCGGUCCAUGCGCGUGCAGCGUGGUCGCCACCGUUCGACGAGGAAGCACACGGCGUUGGUCCGCAGUAAGCUUCUCCGGCGAACGGAGCCGGCACGCCGCCAUGCUUCUGCUGCGCGGCGCCGCCGAAGCGGUCGCCGUUUUCUCUCAUAGAGGCGAGCGGAGAUUUCAGGGAGAAAGUGGGGAAUGAGGUAGGGUUUGACCGGCAACCUGUUUUGUUUCGGCUGGGAUGAUACGGACCGUCCACUGAAUCGGACGGCUGAGGUCGGCGCCCAGGCUAGCUGCUGGGCUUUCGAGUGGAUAAAGGGCAUAAUCUGACCGGUGGUUGAGGCCUAAGUUGUCCAGGCCCCGGGAGAUUUUUCUUUUUCCCUGAGAAUUUUUCUCCUGGGCAAAUCAAUGAAAGGCAACCGUGGGUAUCAUGGGCAAAAUUUAAUGUUCUUUGCAUUUUCCUUUUAUUCAGUGCUUUUAUGUAUUAUGAUCAUUCUCAAAAUGUGUUGCGCUGCUUUAAAAUGAAAAUAUCUAGAAAAUUAUGUUGUAAAUUAUGUUUUAGGUUUUCAGAAUAAACCUUUUUUGGGGUACUUUUAACACAUGAAAUUUGAUGAUGAGUAUCAUUUAAAUAUAUUUGAUGUAGGAUUUUUUUUAAAUUUGAUAUUUAAUCUAAGAAUGAUGUGGCCAAUAUCUAUAAUGAAUUAUUCAUUUUUUUUAAAGUGCCCUUUAUGCAGUUUUUUUUCAAGUUAUGUCUUAUGUACUAAUUAAGUUAGAAAAUGCCCUGAUUUUAAAGGAGAAAUAUGAUAUGAGAUUAUGAUGUCAUUUACUUUCAGUGGUAAUCUCUCUUUAAUAGCAUGUCAAUGUUGAAUUAUGAGAUGAUAUUUUUUUUGCACAGUUAUGUUCAACUUAAAAAAAUUUAUGAAUAAUUUUUUUUUGGAUAUCAAACAUGAAUUUUAUGUUGAUUUUAUGAUAAUGUUAUUCCGUAAUGAUGUGAUCAUCACUAACGGACUAAAGUCACCUCAACAAAAAUGCUAAUGCGUGGUGCGGUUUUCCGCGUCGCACUAUGCAUCUAAUAAUGUUGGGCAUGUGUGCUCCUUGAACAAUACUAAGGUUUAUGUUGAUUCAUUUUAUAUUGAAAUUAAGAUAUGCACUGUUGAAAUAAGCAUAAUUGACCAAAAUAGUAUUGAUAAAGUUAUGAUUGAUUUUCUAACCAAAUAAAUGUUGUUUAAAGAAUUUUAUGUGAUAUGCAAUAUCCUAGUCAAUAUAUGACAUUUUUAUGAAAUCUAUCCAAAGUACAUGUUGCCAUUCAUUUGACCAUCAUAAUUUGUCAAAUAUUAUUAUUUCAUGAAUUAUUAUGUAACUUUAUGUCCAAAUUUUAUUAUUUUAAUCUUAUGAUAACCUGACGAUAAUGUUAAUGUCAAUUUUAAUGUUGGCAAUGGCAUUUAUAUUUAUGACAUUUUCACUCUGAAUGCCCUCUUUAAUGAUUACUCGGUGGGAGGGACAUUCCUAUUUAUAUGUUAAUUCAAAUGUCAUUUUCAUUGUAUGUCAUUGACAAUUCUAACGAUAAUUUUGACACUCAAGUUCAAUAUUUAUAUUAUCGUUGUGAGAUUUAGUGUCAAAAGGCAUCAUAGUGCCUCAUGGCACACACGAUUAUAUUAUGAUGUUACUUUAUGUUAAUGAUGGCAAUUAAUUUAGUCGUAGUUCUUGUUGGUCAUUACGAGAUUUUACAUCUCCCUAGUCAAAAUGGAACCAACGAGAAGUUUUGAUUAGAGAUUUAAUGAGCAAGCGUUCUAAUGGCAUAUGAUGAUAUUCUUAUUGAUUAUGUUUUUCAUGUGUCAUUUACGAAUGAGUAAGGUUCUUUUUUGUUAUCUUCCCAACGGUGAUACAAAUUAGAAUAAAAAUUAAGCAUGUUUUUAUUCAUGCCAUUGCAUGGUUAGUUCAUGCAUGAUUUUUUGUUAUGAUGAUCAUAAAGUUGUCUCCUCUUUUCCAGCAAUAAUAAUGAUGUCAAACUUCUGUUUGGCAUAGAAGAACCUUAUGUAAAUAACUUUUCCACAUCGAGAGUGGAGAUCAUUGUCUCAUGUAAGGAAUCUCCCAAUGUUUUUCUGCCAUUAAGGUUGAAGGAUGUUAAUCAUGAUGAUAAGACAAACAUUGGGAGAGGACGCAUGUGCCAUCAUGCACAUCACUAAUGCAAAGGAGAUUAAAGUCAAAACUAUUGGAUUUAUUCCACUAGUUUUUGGAGAUGACUUAAUUUUUCAUCUUAUUGAUGAUGCUUUGUUCAUGCUCCUAGUUAUUGGGAAACCUUGAUUUGGUCUCUCAAAUAGAUGCCGUUAUCUUAUAUGUUAUUAAGUCAACUCCAAUUACGUAAUGUUAGUCCCACCUUAUGGUGAGACGAAUUAUGUUUUCACUAAUUGAAUCUUUUGUAAAGAUUAGAUGCUAUGUUAUAAUUGAGUAUGCAAGAGAAGUGUAAUUAAUGAGACCUCAUCAAAAUUGUGGUUUUAGACCACAUUUCGAGGGGGAGGCUAGAAGUCUCAUUCAAUAUGAUAUAUCGCGUUCACUUCUCCUACUUAGAUUAUAGCAUGUACAACUAAGCAAACUAUGUAUCUCAAUUCUCUAAUUAAGAUGGAACCAACGAGAAGUCUUGGUUGGAGAAUGUAUGAAAAGCACAUUCUAAUGUUGGUUCUCUAAUUAAGAUCCAACAAAUCUUAUUUAGAAGAAUGAAUGAAAAAUGACUCCUUUAUCAUGUUAGCGUGUACUUAGUCCCUUAUGAACAUUACAAAGCACACAUGAAUGCUAAAGUGGCAAGCUUGCUAGUCUAAUGACCAUCAUGAUGUAACAUGUUGAUUAUAUAUGACCAACGUCAUUUAUAAUCAUAUGUGACACUUCACUCAAGUGGCAAGUUUGUUAGUAUCAUGUGGCUUGUGGUUAUAUUUUGACUAACGUUGUUUAUAAUCAUUUGCCACUACUUUUUAAGUUCUUUUCCAUCUUCAGCCCAACGGUGUUGUGGUUUAGAACUGAAAUGAUUAUUAUUAAGAUUCUGGAUAUGUUUUUAAAUCCUUUAAAUAAAGUGAUCAUCGGGGAACCUAGAGAGUAUGAACAUGAAUCUUAAGGAUAACUCCAUUAGAUCUUUAUUCAUAUGCAUCAGGUAAGUUGAGAAAAAAUGCCUAUUGCAACACUUGAUGUUGAGACUUAACAAUUACCCAGUGAUUGAUAAUGUGUGUGAACGAUCAUCUUAGAGGCUUGUGUGAUAACGAGCUCUAAUGAUGUAUGGGACUCAAUAGAGUUUACUCAACGAGUUGUUGUGAUGCUUGGAUUGUUAUUAUAACAUGCUCUUGUGUUGGCGAAGUUAAGAAUGGUCUUAGGACUCAACCAUAAGUUUUCGUCAUGGAGAAGUUUGACAUAAGGCAUGUUAUCUAAAGAAAUACAAUUAUGAAAUAAUACAAGCAUUGGGCCUCUCGUACCAUAAAAUGAGGGGGAGUAAGAUUACUAACUUGUGAAGAUGGAAUAUUUUUGGCGAGCCAAUAAUUUUUUUUCUAUUUAUGACAUAGGAUCUUGGUGAUGCCUCAUACUUUGCUUGUAUUGAAUUUUGCCAAGAUAUAGGUCUGAAAGGAGUACAAAUUUUAUUAUGACGACAUACAUCGAUAGAGUACGAAAGAAAAUAUUAAGUGGUAGUACUCUAUCUUACCUGCUACUAAAGUUAAGGGCAAUAAAAGUGGACAUUUCGGUGUCCAAGGAACCAUUAUGAACUGAUCAGAUAAUGUCGAUUCCUUUAUGCUUCGGUUGUCAGAAGCAGUAUGUGUAUUCAGGUAUGAACGUGCCCUUGUUUGUGAUCGGGAUAAUUGGCAAAUAUAGAAGUAAGUCCAGAAAUGGACCAGUAGAAAAACCGCUACAGCCUUGUAGAUAUGCAAGGCAAUAAAGUUUACAUGCUCACUAAUGAGAAGUUUGAUAACCUUGAUAUCUUGUGUUAUUCAGACAUUGUUUAUGCGAGAUAUGUGGAUAUUAAAGUUUCCACGUUACGUUACAUCCUCAUUCUUGCAUAUGGAGUUAUAUUGUGGAAAAGCUCCUUAAUGACACUGAUGGCAUUAGAAAUAUGCAUUUAAUUAUGUGGCGUGUUAAGAGGCUACUGGGCAGGUUAUAUGUCAAGAAAUUUUAUUCCCGAAAUUAUGGUGGUAGACAACAUAUUUUUAACCACCUACUGCAAUAUGAUACGCAGUUUUCUAUGCGAGUAACAACAAGUUGAAUGGCAUUGCCAAAGCCAUUGACAAUAUGUUUAGUGUUGUGAAAAAUAGAAUCCAGGAUCAAGCUAUUGAAGUUGAGCGUAUGAGAACAUUUGAAUGUUUUACGGAUCCGUUUAUCGAAGGCUUGCCACCCAUACUUAUGAUUAUGUUGCCGGCAUGGGGUUACUGAAAAGCCUUUUGAUCCUGAAAAUGAGGACCGUUCAAUAAACCAACUCCCAUAAAGUAAUAUGUUAUCCAUUUCAAGAUAGAAUGGUGUACUAUAAGUAUUGAGGUUUAAUGACACCUUUUGGCCAUUAGAACACCUUACUUUGGUAUAUUAUUUCUAUUAAGAAUGGGCUUAUGAUGUUUGUUAACCUUACGAUCAAGGGGGAGAAUGUUGGAAUUAAUCUACGGUUGAAACAAACCGUGAGAGAAAAGGGGAGCCUUUUGACCCCAGGUGUGCAAUGAUCGAAAGCACACCACACAUCCACACGUUUGGUUUUGGUCCCAUGUACCCAGCACACACACAUAUAUAAGGAAAAGGGGGUUUUCAUUAUGGAUAACAACAUAUCGAUCUAAACCACCUAACUGCCGAUCCUGAAUAUGUGCUGAGGUAUGUGAAGGCCAUCUCCACCACCGGCCACCGCAGAGCUGUGCCUGCGGCAACCCUGCUGUCAUCCUCGCCACCGUGCUGCUUCUUCCCCAACAUCUCCUCGCCACU